UUACUUUGGCAAAUCAUAACUACAAAGUUUAUCAAAAGGAGGAGAAUGUUAUAGAAGAUAUGUACUGGUGCUUUGAAAAGAAAAAAGAAGAUGAACCGAUACACAGAGAAAUAUUUUCAGUAAAAAGCAGGGGAAAAGAUGAAGAUGAUUAUUUCAAGUAUCACUUUUCAAACCCAUUUAAAAUUCUUCUUGACUGGUCAGACACAAAACCACAUAAUGGUCAACCUCUGAUGUAAAGAGAUAUUAUGGAAACAU